UACGGAGGGGGCUAGCGUUAUUCGGAAUUACUGGGCUUAAAGGGUGCGUAGGCGGUGAAGUAAGUCGGGUGUGAAAUACCAUAGCUUAACUAUGGAACUGCACUCGAUACUACUUUGCUAGAGUAAGACAGAGGUGAGUGGAACUGAGGGUGGAGCGGUGAAAUGCGUUGAUAUCCUCAGGAACACCGGUGGCGAAGGCGACUCACUGGGUCUUUACUGACGCUGAUGCACGAAAGCUAGGGUAGCAAACGGG
rnacentral:rRNA from 1 species